GUGUAUCCCAGAUGUCUCCAACUCUACCCAGGUGUGUCUAACCCCGCCCAGGUGUGCCCCAGGUGUGCCCAGGUGUAUCCCAGGUGUCUCUAAUCACACCCAGGUGUAUCCCAGGUGUGCCCAGGUGUGCCCAGGUGUGUCACAGGUGUGCCCAGGUGUAUCCCAGAUGUCUCCAACUCUACCCAGGUGUGUCUAACCCCGCCCAGGUGUAACCCAGGUGUGUCCAGGUGUAUCCCAAUCACACCCAGGUGUGUCAGCACUCACCUGUCUCUGCUCCACCUGCGUGGAGCCGUCCAGGCACAAGUCGAUGUGCCCAGGUGUGUCCCAGGUGUGACACAGAUGUGCCCAGGUGUCUCUAACUACACCCAGGUGUGUCCAAGUGUGCUCAGGUGUGUCCCAGGUGUGCCCAGGUGUAUCCCAGGUGUCUCUAAUCACACCCAGGUGUCUCCCAGGUGUAUCUCAGGUGUGCCCAGGUGUUUUUUGGACUCACCUGUCUCUGUUCCACCCUCGUGGAGCCGUCCAGGCGCAGGUAGAUGUGCCAGGUGUGUCACAGGUGUGCCCAGGUGUAUCCCAGGUGUCUCUAAUCACACCCAGGUGUCUCCCAGGUGUAUCUCAGGUGUGCCCAGGUGUUUUUUGGACUCACCUGUCUCUGUUCCACCCUCGUGGAGCCGUCCAGGCGCAGGUAGAUGUGCCCAGGUGUAUCCCAGGUGUCUCUAAUCACACCCAGGUGUGACACAGGUGUGCCCAGGUGUGCCCAGGUGUGUCUCAGGUGUUUUUGUGACUCACCUGUCUCUGUUCCACGCGGGUGGAGCCGUCCAGGCGCAGGUAGAUGUGCCCAGGUGUGACACAGGCGUGCCCCAGGUGUAUCCCAGGUGUCUCUAAUCACACCCGGGUGUGUACCCAGGUGUGUCAAACCCCACCCAGGUGUAUCCCAAUCACACCCAGGUGUGUCCCAGGUGUGUCCCAGGUGUGCCCAGGUGUGUCAGCACUCACCUGUCUCUGCUCCACCCGCGUGGAGCCGUCCAGGCGCAGGUAGAUGUGCCCCAGGUGUGUCACAGGUGUGCCCAGGUGUGCCCGGUGUAUCCCAGGUGUGCCCAGGUGUGUCUCAGGUGUCUCCAAUCCUACCCAGGUAUAUCUGACCCCACCCAGGUGUAUCUCAGGUGUAUCCGAGGUGUCUCCAACUACACCCAGGUGUAUCCCAAUCACACCCAGGUGUAUCCCAGGUGUGUCUGACCCCACCCAGGUGUAUCCAGGUGUAUCCCAAUCACACCCAGGUGUGCCCAGGUGUCUCUCAGGUGUUUUUGUGGCUCACCUGUCGCUGUUCCACCCGCGUGGAGCCGUCCAGCCGCAGGUAGAUGUGCCCAGGUGUGCCCAGGUGUGUCACAGGUGUGUCUAACCCCACUCAGGUGUCUCUCAGGUGUUUUUGUGGCUCACCUGUCGCUGUUCCACCCGCGUGGAUCCGUCCAGCCGCAGGUAGAUGUGCCCGUGGAAGGUGAGGAACCGCUCCAGC
rnacentral:lncRNA from 1 species